AGAAAAGCAGUAAUAUAAAAGUAAAAUGGCAAGACCUCACUAUCCAAUUGGCCCACUUGCUAUAGCCCAGCCCACCAGUGCCUCAUCCCUAACAUCCUGUUCAUCCCACGGGGCAGCCAUCCGAAGCCCCAUGGCAGCUAUAAGGGCCUCCCCGUCGUCAUUGACUAACCCUAGCCCAUCUUCUCCCUCGCCCCCUCGCGUAGCUCUCACCGCCGCACCACCCGAAUGUUGUCGUCGCCGCGCCAUUGUCGUCUUCGUGGCCAUCGGUCUCCUUGGCGACUGGGAGGACAUCCAGAAGCUCUGGCGACAUCGACUACACCACCUGCAAUACCAGGGCGGAGCCGGGGACCAUUGCUGACGUUGCCUCGACUGAUCCCCUCCGCCGGCGUCCGCCUCGGCCUCGCCUUCGAUCCGCCGCCUCCAGCCCCCCCUGACGUGUCUGAGCACGCCACCAGCUCCGGGAUGACGGAUCCUAGGAGCCGGGCGAUACCACUGACGACUACUACUACCCCAAGGGUGCCUACUACUACGUGAUGGCCGCUGGCGACUUGGAGUAGUUAGGAGGCUCCCAGGCAGGAGGUCUUGCCUUUUCGACCGUUGUUGCUUUUGUGUUAGCAUUCUUAAGGCAGAAUUGUUUAACUUGUGUCUGUACUCAGAUAUUGUUGCUUCCGCCGACUCUUGUGUAUUCGAGCCCUUGAGGCCCCUGGCUUGUAAUAUAAAGCUUGUAUUAUUUUAAUUUGUGUCUAGAGUCAUGUUGUGAUA